rnacentral:tRNA from 1 species
GCGCUCUUAGUUCAGUGGUAGAACGCGCCGUUCACAUCGGCGAGGCCGUUGGUUCGAUCCCAACAGAGCGCACCA